rnacentral:misc_RNA from 1 species
GGCACCUGAAUUUGUUGAUGACCAUUUGAGUGCUGGUCCGUCGAGUCUUGCAGCAACGCUCUAUGUGUCUAAGUUUGCAGCAAAUGCGCUUCGAGGAGUUCAGAGAGCGAGGGAUACGAAGGGUGCUAUGGAGAUGGUGAAGCUGCAGAAGCCACAGAUGCCGGAUUUCACCGAAGAUGAUGCAGUUUAGUUUGGCUGUGGUUCGAUAUAUACUUAAUGAGUGUAGACAUUUGUGACUGAUGACGUGUACAAGAACUGAAAUAUUGAUACUGCAUCGUUAUACAUGAU